GACGAACGCUCGCGGCGUGCCUAAGGUAUGCAAGUCGAACGGAAGGUCGGGUUCGCCCGGCCUUCAGUGGCGAACGGUCGAGUAACACGUAGACAACCUGCCUUCCAGUGGGGGAUACCCGCUCGAAAGGGCGGCUAAUACCGCAUACGGUCCUGCUCUGCAUGGAGCGGCGACGAAAGGUUUACUGCUGGGAGAUGGGUCUGCGGCCUAUCAGCUAGCUGGUGAGGUAACGGCNCACCAGGGCGACGACGGGUAGCGGGUCUGAGAGGAUGAUCCGCCGGACGGGGACUGAGACACGGCCCCGACUCCUUCGGGAGGCAGCAAUGAGGAAUAUUGCGCAAUGGGGGAAACCCUGACGCAGCGACGCCGCGUGCGGGAGGAAGCUCUUCGGGGUGUAAACCGCUGUCGAGGGGGGAAGAACGGGCCGGGGAGGCAAUGCCCCGGGUUUUGACGGUACCCCCAGAGGAAGCACCGGCUAACUCUGUGCCAGCCGCCGCGGUAAG
rnacentral:rRNA from 1 species